rnacentral:lncRNA from 1 species
UCACUAAGUUAAAUGCAACUUCGGACAUGGAGGCUACUUCUGCAAGCUUCAUCAUCUAAUAAUUCAACAAAGCAUAUUUACAAUCAAUAGAAUGUCACAUUUGUAAUAGGAUUUUAUGAUAUUUAACAAGAUUUCAUAAAAAUAAAUUAAAAUAUCUUAAUCUGCAUAAUGUGAGUGCAUACUGUGAUUUUUUGGUACUUUUAUCAGAAAAUUGAAUAUUACAAUC